AGCGAACGCUGGCGGCAGGCCUAACACAUGCAAGUCGAACGGGUUCCUUCGGGGACCAGUGGCAGACGGGUGAGUAACACGUGGGAACGUACCCUUCAGUUCGGAACAACCCAGGGAAACUUGGGCUAAUACCGGAUACGCCCUUCGGGGGAAAGAUUUAUCGCUGAAGGAUCGGCCCGCGUCUGAUUAGCUAGUUGGUGAGGUAACGGCUCACCAAGGCGACGAUCAGUAGCUGGUCUGAGAGGAUGAUCAGCCACACUGGGACUGAGACACGGCCCAGACUCCUACGGGAGGCAGCAGUGGGGAAUAUUGGACAAUGGGCGAAAGCCUGAUCCAGCCAUGCCGCGUGAGUGAUGAAGGCCCUAGGGUUGUAAAGCUCUUUCGGCGGGGACGAUAAUGACGGUACCCGCAGAAGAAGCCCCGGCUAACUUCGUGCCAGCCGCCGCGGUAAUAC
rnacentral:rRNA from 1 species